rnacentral:rRNA from 1 species
UACAGAGGGUGCAAGCGUUGUUCGGAAUUAUUGGGCGUAAAGCGCGUGUAGGCGGCUUCGCGAGUCGGGUGUGAAAUCCCCCAGCUUAACUGGGGAAGUGCGCUCGAAACUGCGGGGCUCGAGUACCGGAGAGGAUGGCGGAAUUCCCCAAGUAGAGGUGAAAUUCGUAGAUAUGGGGAGGAACACCGGUGGCGAAGGCGGCCAUCUGGACGGAUACUGACGCUGAGACGCGAAAGCGUGGGGAGCAAACAGG